GACUGGAUAGCCCAGCAGUAAAGGCAUCAUAUUGACAAUGCUGAGGUCCCAGGUUCAAGUCCUGGUCUAGUCA
rnacentral:tRNA from 1 species